rnacentral:rRNA from 1 species
UACGUAUGUCCCAAGCGUUAUCCGGAUUUAUUGGGCGUAAAGCGAGCGCAGACGGUUAUUUAAGUCUGAAGUGAAAGCCCUCAGCUCAACUGAGGAAUUGCUUUGGAAACUGGAUGACUUGAGUGCAGUAGAGGAAAGUGGAACUCCAUGUGUAGCGGUGAAAUGCGUAGAUAUAUGGAAGAACACCAGUGGCGAAGGCGGCUUUCUGGACUGUAACUGACGUUGAGGCUCGAAAGUGUGGGUAGCAAACAGG